rnacentral:tRNA from 1 species
GAGGGUAUAGUUCAGUGGUAGAGUGCAUGCUUAGCAUGCACAAGGUCCUGGGUUCAAUCCCUAGUACUUCCA